CAUUCAGAGAGCUGUUGGCAAUUUGGGGGCCAGAUUUUGCUCUUAUUUCCCUUUCUACAAAGCAGGAAUGUGUAAAGAGGAAUUGGCAGCGCACCCAGGACAGAUUUGAGCUUGUUUAAACUGAGUUUCUAGAAUUGCUUUGCUCUUCUUCAGGCUGUGUGAGCUUCCAAGCCGGUGCUUCACUGGGGGAGCGAUGGCUCCUCUGGGCCCUGCUCUGAGCACAUCCCCAGCCCAGCUCCCGGUGACUUCCAGGGUGAAAUCCUCGCUCCUCUCGCCGAGUCCAGCCCUGCGUUCCUGCCAGUGAUCCGGUGUUUAAUGCUCCCCUCGCUGCUGCCGGCUGGGAUGGAUUCCAGGUAUUUAACAAAUUGAAGCCGUUCUCCAUACUGUGAUACCUUCUGAAGCAUCCCAUAUGCAACUCUCAGUAAGGCUUGGCUGUGUUUAACAUAAUUCACAUUUUCAAGACACAAGGUUCUGGGGAACUGCCCAUCUUGCACAAAAAAGGACAAGGAGAAAUGUCAUUGCAAUGGGAAUAAAUGGGAAAUGGUGGCAUGAAAAGGGGCCUGCCAUGAACUGCUCGUGAUGUCACCUGAGACUUUUCAAAGGAGUGGCUUGAAAAUAACGACUUUCACCAGAAAAUGUGUAUCAAAAUGCAACCUGAAAAGUGUAUCAAAGAAGAAAAUGUAAUUGCUGGGAGUGAGCUGAGCAGAGAGACCUCCUACAAGAGAGAAAUGUGGGCUGGAACAUGCAGGAGAAGCCAGGAGUUAGUCUCAGGGAAGUUUUAAUCCUUUUGUGGAUGCAUUUUCUCCCUGGCUGCCUGCAAAGCCGAGGCUGGUGCCCUGGCACGGUGUCAGAAUGGAAGAGCUGCGAGCAGAACUGAGCAUUCCCAAUGUGCAGAGUUACUCCUGGUUUACUCCUUUAGUAGGGACCCUCUGCCACCUGCCCUUCACCACUGCUUGUGCCACGUGGCCCUGGGCAGUCACUUCACCUGUCCUGCCUUAAAUCCACCCCUCCUGAGGGAGGGAGUGACAGGGCUGGGCACCUCCAGGUGGGAAUUGUUCCAAAGUGCCAGAUAGGAUUAAAGGAAAGAACAACCUGUGGUGGUUUGGAGGUAAAGCUUCUCCCUGGGUGUGCAUCCAUGUGCCAGUUCUCAGUCUAAAGCAAACAUUUCAGGUGGUGGGGAAGGUCCCCCUUUCAUGUUCCCUGCCUGAAGCCCCCAGGCUGGGAACAGUUCCUCUGGAAAGAUCUGCAGGGUCUGGAUGCCCACAGAGCAUUAGGGCUGGAAAAGCCCUCCAGGAUCAUCCAUUGGCUGUACAGAGAAAAGGAACUGGGGAUCUCCAGGGGGUUUUAUUUUCCUCUAGUUUUUGCCCCUUUAUUGUGUUCUGACCUUGCAAAGCAGGGAUUGUCCUGCAGCAAAAGUCACCUUUUUAUCAGAGCCUCAUGUGAAGCAUUUCCCUCACUGCAGACCCAGGGCUCGCGUUCGAGGGCUGGGGGCGCUCCCAAAGCGAGUCCUAAACCAAGAAUUAGUGCAAGAAAUGGAUCAUUCUUUGGUUUAAUGCUAAUAGAGGUUCUGGCUCCUCUGGGUUGUCAUAAAGUGCAGUGACUGAGUUACACCCUUUCCUAUAGUUUGAUUAAUUCUGGAUCAAUUGCUGCUGGGUUUGUAUCUGUAGCAGCUUUCACUGGAGGCAGGAGGUUGGGGAAAUACUAUUGUUCAAACAGUUUAGGAUUAAAAUGGGAUGAAUAACUUUUAUGGGAGAAGAAUAAUACAUUUAAUUUUGAAUUUGUUAUUCCUUGGGCUUCCUGCAGCCUGCUCUGCUUUCCUCCUGGGUUUUGUGGGAGAGGGAGACAAGAACUGCAAUAUCUGUUAUGAUUAAUGGCCUGGAGGAACCUAAUGGUUAUGGAAUUACUGCAUGUUUGAAGGGUCUGACAUGGCAGAUAAUUUCUCCCUGCUCCCCUUGUCCUGGCAACACAAGAUUUAGACUUGCUGAUGCUCCCGAGGAGCUGUCCCAGCCCCAGCUGCAGAGCUGAGGCCCAGAGAUGGUGGGGAUAAGGUAAAUAACCUCUCUGGCCAUGGGCAGCUUAUCUAAAUGAAAACCCAGCUCAACCCCCUCGGAAUCUCUGCCAUCACUCCUGCAAAAGCCCAUAUUUAAAAUAGAAAAUGAAAUGUUGGAGUUUUCAAAUUCAAGUGGGUGCAAGUAUUUCAGUUCCAAAAAAAUAAAAAUUAGAUGGCAGAUUGUGAAAAAAAUAAAUGCUGCAGUGUCCAAAAAUGACAGAGUGCAAAAUCCCACAUUUUAUUCAGAGCAAACAAAACCAAUCAAGGCCUUUCACAGGACAUGAAUGGAAGGGACCCACCAGGAGCUCUGAGUCCAACUCAGCCUGCACAGAACCAGCUCUGGAGUUCCACCAGCACCUUUGUGGUAGGAAAUGUCAGAAAUACCAUUAAAGAUGUUCAUUCCCAGCUCCCUGUUUUCCCUGGGAUGCUCCCCAAUUUCCUUUUCCCCACAGCAGCAGCAGGGUGAACCAGGUAUCCCCAGCUCCCACGAGGGAAAUAAUUGAAGAAUGGAUUUUUAACCUGAAUCAAACUUCUGUUAUUUCCAGACUUGUCUGGGGCAUAAAUUGGAAAUCAAACACCCAACAAGUUCCUUCCAUCCCUGCUGAAAGGCUCCAGGCUUCAUUUAGUCAAGGCUCAGAAUUAAUUUUCCUAUUAAAUGAAUGCUUUCUUAAAACGAAGGGGGAAAGUGUUUUCACUGAUAAGAUUGUUCUGUGAACCAUUCCUAAUGAGCUGCUGUGUCAUUCCCUUCUGCCUCCUAUUUAUCUUGUUUAGAUCUCUUCAAUUUGAAGUAUUCCAGUCCUUUGCUGCCUGCUAAGAGUUUGUUUUG